GACGAACGCUGGCGGCGUGCUUAACACAUGCAAGUCGAACGCUGAAGCCUGGCUUUGUGUUGGGUGGAUGAGUGGCGAACGGGUGAGUAACACGUGAGUAACCUGCCCUCUUCUUCGGGAUAACGGUCUGAAAGGGCUGCUAAUACCGGGUAUUCACUGGUCCUCGCAUGGGGGUUGGUGGAAAGGUUUUUUCUGGUGGGGGAUGGGCUCGCGGCCUAUCAGCUUGUUGGUGGGGUGAUGGCCUACCAAGGCUUUGACGGGUAGCCGGCCUGAGAGGGUGACCGGUCACAUUGGGACUGAGAUACGGCCCAGACUCCUACGGAAGGCAGCAGUGGGGAAUAUUGCACAAUGGGCGCAAGCCCUGAUGCAGCGACGCCGCGUGAGGGAUGGAGGGCCCUUUCCGGGGU
rnacentral:rRNA from 1 species